rnacentral:rRNA from 1 species
UACGUAGGGUGCGAGCGUUGUCCGGAAUUAUUGGGCGUAAAGGGCUCGUAGGCGGUUUGUCGCGUCGGGAGUGAAAACCAGGUGCUUAACACCUGGCUUGCUUUCGAUACGGGCAGACUAGAGGUAUUCAGGGGAGAACGGAAUUCCUGGUGUAGCGGUGAAAUGCGCAGAUAUCAGGAGGAACACCAAUGGCGAAGGCAGCUCGCUGGAACGGUACUGACGCUGAGGCGCGAAAGCGUGGGGAGCGAACAGG